GCGUUUGUGGAGUUCGUGUCUGCGCUUCCAUCGAAGGUACAUGAUUCCUAUUUGUUGUGAGAGUGAAAUGAUGGGCAGCAGCACCAACUGAGGUACAUGAUUCCUAUUUGUUGUGAGAGUGAAAUGAUGGGCAGCAGCACCAACUAAGGGCUAUCAUUUACUACUGCUAAUUGGCG